CUCCCAGCAGCCCCCUGGCAGCGGCGGGAGAGGGCGGCGGGCGGGCUCUCCCCGCGCGGGCGCCUGGGACCUGUAGUCCAGGGCGGCUCCUCCUCGGGGCUCUGGCCGGAGCGGCCGGCCCGCCCGUCCCGGCGCCUGCGCGGGGCUGUGGCGCAGUGGAUACAGGUGGGGGGGGGGAAUGAAUAAAGGCGCGCUUUUGACAUAAAAUCGUUGUAAAACAGCUCCUCUGGGCUCUGCAGCAGGAGCAGCGGGCCCGGGGUAAGGCUUACAGGAGCUGGAGUGCGGAGUUGCCGUUGACCUACGAAUCGGGGCCGGGUUUGUGCUCUCCAGAUAGACAAGUCAUAUCAGGUUUUAAUGGAUUUUCCCAGAAAGCACUUUCUCAAAUUGGUGCACAGCUGAACAACCAGAGCUUGUGUAAUUCUUCUCCUGGAUGUUUCACAAUGUCACUUCUCGGCCCUCUAAAUGUGAGAUUCCAACUAAAGCAACAGAGCAUGUAAUGUUGGCAGUAAAAGCAGUGUCCUAAACAUGUGAAGGGAAGAUAAGCAAACAUAAGGCAGCCUGGAAAAAUUCUUGACCAGACUGCUGACUUUGGAUUUCUUUGGUGGAAGAUGAAGAAUGACCACAGGAGAAAGCUCUUGCUGGCUACAUGCUCCACUCUGCACUUUGUUUUUAAGGAUGGGUUAAUCUCUCCUGCUGAACUCAUGCACAGAUUCAAAAGGAUCCAAAUGAAAAAAGAAGUGGGAGAGUCCAGCACUCAGGGACAGGAUUCAGCUGUCUAUACAUGAGUGCUUAUUGUGCCUUUAGACAGUAGGUGCAUCCUGCCUGGCCUCCAGCUGCCUGCCUUAUGGGAAGGGGCAGCUCUUUCCACAAGCCUCAUGAUGUAGCUACCAGCCUGUGCAGAUGACUUAGAUAUCCCAAAGUACCUCCAAAGGAUGUCUCAAGAAGUGCAUUUUCACCAUUGGAUUCUAUAAACAUACCAAAAAUUAUAACUUAAGUCACUGGAGGGGGGAAUAAAUUUGGACUGAUGACACAAGAAUUGUAGCGCUUCUGUAAGGUUUUUACAACAUAAGAUUCUGAUAAUAGUCUCAUUGAAAGUCUAUCUGCCAAGAUCUACAAACGAGGAAAUGAAAGAGUAUUAACUUUUUGUGUGUUUUUCAGUCUUUCUUUGGGGUCUGUAGUUGGUUCACGAACAGAGACCAAAUAAUAAAAAUAAAGUAGGAUAGAAUAUGUAUCAGUAUUGCUAUUGUUAUGGAAAGUCAGAAAAGAACUGAUAGUUUGCUUAUAAAAGGAAAAGUGAGAAGGAGAGGUCAGCAAUAAAUAGUUUCAAGUGAAGAA